rnacentral:tRNA from 1 species
AUCUUUCUAGUAAUAAACAAAUAUAAGUGACUUCCAAUCACCAGAUCUUGGUUAAAGCCCAAGGAAAGGUA